AAUUCUCAACCUCUAUCAGCUUGCUGGUAAAGGCUUGGAUAUGGAGGAAUGUAUGCGGGCUUUUUACAAGUCGGCUCCUCUUAAAUGCAUUAGCAGAAUCAUUGUGCUAGCUUAGGUGUGAUAAUUAUCUACGCCUUGAUGCUUUGGCAUGUCUACGAUUCGGCUUCUAAUCGUCCGCAAGGACAGCAUAUUAUGAC
rnacentral:misc_RNA from 1 species